UUUGGGUCUUUUAGAAAUUUUCUGCUGCACUUACCAAAACAAUCUACAUAUACCUUAGUUAUUCGGAGCCACUUCAUUAUCUAUCUAAGGUGAUCCCUUCAAUACAAUCGAGCAAAAUCGUAUCGAAUUAUACAUAUUUAAGCAGACAUUAUUGUUACUCGAUUGUUCAAUUUCGUCUAAUCAGUCCACCUCAGAGGGCUGAGCUGUGCAGCAGUGAUUAAGGUGCAGGAACUAGCCGCUGCCUACUCAUAGUAAGGGAUGCGAUUUUCAAUUAUAUUCUUGGCGGCCUUGCUGAUUUCCGAAACCCAAGAAGCUUAUGAAUAUGUAAGAUGUUUUGAUGACGCUACUGACUACUUGAGUGCUGCACUUAAGGAAGUUCUCUCAGGCGAAUUAGAACAAAUGGCGGACCACUACAUUUCCAUUAUAAAAGGAAAUGAAGACAACAGUUGGUGCAGCCGCAAGGACGAGGAUUGCCGAAAAAUCGAGUUCAGCCAGAUCCGUGAAUUUUUAACUGUCUAUAUUAUUCAGAACAUCACAAAUGCAAACCUGCGUGUGUUCGAUAUUUAUUUGUAUGAAGCUGAGACACAGACAAAGCAUGAACACUUUUUAGUAACGUGUUUUCAAUGUAUAUAUGCCUACGAUAUUGACGCGUGUGUUGAUGAAGUGGUUGGUAUAAUUGCCGCGAAUAGAGGAUAUCUAUGAGCCGCACCGAAACAGCAAGCUAGACAAUCCCGUAGCAGAGAACUGGCGGAAGUUACAGCUGAGGGACGACCAUAUUUAUGACGCUGUAGGUAUUAUUACGUAUCGCGCGUAUGAAAUCAGAAAAACAGCUUAGAAGCUGUUGAAU